AAUUUUAUGAGCUUGCAAUACUCAAUGAGAGGAUAAAGAAAUGUUUCGUCAACACAGAUUCUAAGAUCAAACUUGUCCAAUUAACGUGAGAUAAUAUUUAAACGAAGCUGUUGAAACGUACUCGUCAUCGAUAAAUAACGCGGUAGACAUACAACGAAUAAGAAACACGUCGAUAAAUAACAUAGUGGACUUACAACGAAUAGGAAACAUACCGAUAAAUAACGUAAUGCAUUUACAACGAAUGAAGAAUGUGUAAUGUAUAACACGAGACACACGGUGGGGAACGGCGCAAUAUCUCGACACGUGUAACGUUGUUCGCCGAAUGCGAACAAGAUCAGAACACGGACCUAUCAUACGUGCGCCACGUGUACACCCGUCCCCACACUUGGCGUAGUUUAUUUGUUGAUAGAUUUCAAUUUCGGUCGGUGUAUUUCUUAGUCGAGUCGUUAACGAGAUCCUAAAGAUAUCUGAAAUUGUUUGGCGCUGACCGAGAACUAAACAAUCCUUGUUCUAUGUAAAUACAUGACGUAUAUGUUUGUUAGGUAUGUACGCGCCUAGGUUCGAUACAAUGUGAAAGAAAGAAGAUCUAAAAAGGUAACCGGUACGAGAUACUAUAAUUUU
rnacentral:misc_RNA from 1 species